rnacentral:rRNA from 1 species
AGAGCGCAAGGGGAAUGCCUUGGCACUGGGAGCCGACGAAGGACGUAGCGAUCUACGAUAAGCCACGGUGAGCCGAAAGCAGGCAUCGACCCGUGGAUUUCCGAAUGGGGCAACCUGGCUGAAUAGAACUCAGUCAACAUACGGUGAAUAAAAUAGUCGUAUGUAGGGAACCGCCUGAACUGAAACAUCUAAGUAGGGCGAGGAAAAGAAAUCAACCGAGAUUCCGCAAGUAGUGGCGAGCGAACGCGGAAGAGGCCAAACCGAGAGUAGUAAUACUUUCGGGGUUCGGACAGCGGACGGUAUGCUGAAGGUUAGCAGAAGGACAUGGGACGGUCCACCAAAGAGAGUGAGAGUCUCGUAUGCGAAAACUGAAAGCAGCCAGCUGAAUCCAGAGUACCGCCGGACACGUGAAACCCGGUGGGAAUAUGGGGGGACCAUCCUCCAAGCCUAAAUACUACCCAGUGACCGAUAGCGUAUAGUACUGUGAAGGAAAGGUGAAAAGAACCCCGGGAGGGGAGUGAAAAGAACCUGAAACCUUGUGCUUACAAGCACACAAAGCACGUCAACGUGUGAUGUGGUACCUUUUGUAGAAUGGUCCGGCGAGUGAAUGUAACUGGCGAGGUUAAGUUCUUAAGGAACGGAGCCGAAGCGAAAGCAAGUCUGAAUAGGGCGUCUUAGUCAGUUGUAUUCGACCCGAAACCGGGUGACCUAUCCAUGUCCAGGAUGAAGUUAAGGUAAAACUUGAUGGAGGUCCGAACCCACGGUCGUUGAAAUGCCCGGGGAUGAGAUGUGGAUAGCGGAGAAAUUCCAAUCGAACCCGGAUAUAGCUGGUUCUCUCCGAAAUAGCUUUAGGGCUAGCCUCGACUGAACAUUACCGGAGGUAGAGCACUGAAUGGGCUAGGGGCCGAGAGGUUACUGAACCCUAUCAAACUUCAAAUGCCGGAAAAUGAUAGUCGGGAGUCAGACUGCGUGAGAUAAGUUUCGUAGUCGAAAGGGAAACAGCCCAGACCCACAGCUAAGGUCCCAAAGUACGGUUAAGUGGAAAAGGAUGUGGAGUUGCACAGACAACCAGGAUGUUGGCUUAGAAGCAGCCACUCAUUAAAAGAGUGCGUAAUAGCUCACUGGUCGAGUGACUCUGCGCCGAAAAUUUAACGGGGCUAAAUCGUACACCGAAGCUUGGGAUGUAUCUAUGAUACAUGGUAGGAGAGCGUUGAAUGCGGGGUGAAGUCAGAGCGAAAGCGCUGGUGGACUGCAUUGAAGUGAGAAUGCCGGAAUGAGUAGCGAGAUUUAUGUGAGAAUCAUAAAGGCCGAAAGACUAAGGUUUCAGAAGGAAGGUUCGUCCGCUUCUGGUUAGCCGGGAGCUAAGGUGAGGCCGAAAGGCGUAGCCGAUGCACAUACGGUGGAGAUUCCGUAGCCGUCGAAAUAUUUAAGCAAAGGGACACUUAUGAAGGACAUGACCCGGGCGAUGGUAGCCCCGGGCGUAAGGGACUGAAAACAAGUAAGGAAGCAUGUUUGGAUUAAGGCGAGAAAAGCUUUGUGUAUAUAUGAGACGUCCGUACCGCAAACCGACACAGGUAGUCAGGAAGAGGAUUCUAAGGCCAACGGGAGAAGGGUAGUUAAGGAACUCGGCAAAUUGACCCCGUAACUUCGGGAUAAGGGGCGGUGCGUAAGCACCCGCAGUGAAUAGGUCCAGGCGACUGUUUAUCAAAAACACAGCUCUCUGCUAAAUCGAAAGAUGACGUAUAGGGGGUGACACCUGCCCGGUGCUGGAAGGUUAAGAGGAGGAGUGCAAGCUCCGAAUUGAAGCCCCAGUAAACGGCGGCCGUAACUAUAACGGUCCUAAGGUAGCGAAAUUCCUUGUCGGGUAAGUUCCGACCCGCACGAAUGGUGUAACGAUCUGGACGCUGUCUCAACUGCCCACCCGGCGAAAUUGUAGUACCGGUGAAGAUGCCGGUUACCCGCGGCAAGACGGAAAGACCCCAUGGAGCUUUACUGUAACUUGAUAUUGGGUCUUGGUAUUCUAUGUACAGGAUAGGCGGGAGACUAUGAAACAUACACGCCAGUGUAUGCGGAGUCACCCUUGGGAUACCGCUCUUAGAGUACUGAGAUUCUAACCUGCGGCCGUGAAUCCGGUCGGGGGACAUUGUCAGGUGGGCAGUUUGACUGGGGCGGUCGCCUCCUAAAAGGUAACGGAGGCGCUCAAAGGUUAGCUCAGCACGGUCGGAAACCGUGCCUCUGAGUGCAAACGCAAAAGCUAGCCUAACUGCGAGGCUGACGGGCCGAGCAGUAACGAAAGUUGGAGUUAGUGAUCCGGCGGUAUGUGAAUGGAAAUGCCGUCGCUCAACGGAUAAAAGCUACCCUGGGGAUAACAGGCUGAUCUCCCCCAAGAGUCCACAUCGACGGGGAGGUUUGGCACCUCGAUGUCGGCUCAUCACAUCCUGGGGCUGAAUUCGGUCCCAAGGGUUCGGCUGUUCGCCGAUUAAAGUGGUACGCGAGCUGGGUUCAGAACGUCGUGAGACAGUUCGGUCCCUAUCUGUCGUGGGCGCAGGAUAUUUGAGGAGUGCUGUCCUUAGUACGAGAGGACCGGGAUGGACGCACCUCUGGUGCACCAGUUGUCACGCCAGUGGCACAGCUGGGCAGCUAUGUGCGGAACGGAUAAACGCUGAAAGCAUCUAAGCGUGAAGCCGCCUCCAAGAUAAGAUAUCCCAUAGCAUAAGCUAGUAAGACCCCUCAUGGACUAAGAGGUUGAUAGGCUGCAUGUGUAAGCGCGGUGACGCGUUUAGCUUGGCAGUACUAAUAGGUCGAGGGCUUGACUU